UGUGCCUAAUACAUGCAAGUCGAACGCGUUGGCCCAAUUGAUUGAUGGUGCUUGCACCUGAUUGAUUUUGGUCGCCAACGAGUGGCGGACGGGUGAGUAACACGUAGGUAACCUGCCCAGAAGCGGGGGACAACAUUUGGAAACAGAUGCUAAUACCGCAUAACAACGUUGUUCGCAUGAACAACGCUUAAAAGAUGGCUUCUCGCUAUCACUUCUGGAUGGACCUGCGGUGCAUUAGCUUGUUGGUGGGGUAAUGGCCUACCAAGGCGAUGAUGCAUAGCCGAGUUGAGAGACUGAUCGGCCACAAUGGGACUGAGACACGGCCCAUACUCCUACGGGAGGCAGCAGUAGGGAAUCUUCCACAAUGGGCGCAAGCCUGAUGGAGCAACACCGCGUGAGUGAAGAAGGGUUUCGGCUCGUAAAGCUCUGUUGUUAAAGAAGAACACGUAUGAGAGUAACUGUUUGGGCGUUGACGGUAUUCCCCCGGAAAGGCACGGCUUAUGACGUGGCAUCAAACGAAAUGAAACGUUGGUGGCGAGGGUUAUCCCCAAUUAUUUGGUGUAAAAAAAAUGCCGGGCGGGUUU
rnacentral:rRNA from 1 species